UACAGAGGUCUCAAGCGUUGUUCGGAUUCAUUGGGCGUAAAGGGUGCGUAGGUGGCGCCGUAAGUCGGGUGUGAAAUUUCGGAGCUUAACUCCGAAACUGCAUUCGAUACUGCGGUGCUUGAGGACUGGAGAGGGGACUGGAAUUUAUGGUGUAGCAGUGAAAUGCGUAGAGAUCAUAAGGAAGACCAGUGGCGAAGGCGGGUCUCUGGACAGUUCCUGACACUGAGGCACGAAGGCCAGGGGAGCAAACGGG
rnacentral:rRNA from 1 species